rnacentral:rRNA from 1 species
UACAGAGGGGGCAAGCGUUGUUCGGAAUUACUGGGCGUAAAGGGCGCGUAGGCGGCCGCCUAAGUCAGACGUGAAAUCCCUCGGCUCAACCGGGGAACUGCGUCUGAUACUGGGUGGCUUGAAUCCGGGAGAGGGAUGCGGAAUUCCAGGUGUAGCGGUGAAAUGCGUAGAUAUCUGGAGGAACACCGGUGGCGAAGGCGGCAUCCUGGACCGGCACUGACGCUGAUGAGCGAAAGCCAGGGGAGCAAACGGG